UACGUAGGGGGCAAGCGUUGUCCGGAAUCAUUGGGCGUAAAGCGCGCGUAGGCGGCCCGAUCAGUCCGCUGUAAAAGUCCAGGGCUCAACCCUGGAAUGCCAGUGGAAACUGUCGAGCUAGAGUCCGGAAGAGGAGAGUGGAAUUCCUGGUGUAGCGGUGAAAUGCGCAGAUAUCAGGAAGAACACCCGUGGCUAAGGCGGCUCUCUAGUACGGUACUGACGCUGAGACGCGAAAGCGUGGGGAGCGAACAGG
rnacentral:rRNA from 1 species